rnacentral:rRNA from 1 species
UGGGGAAUAUUGCACAAUGGGCGAAAGCCUGAUGCAGCGACGCCGCGUGAGGGAUGACGGCCUUCGGGUUGUAAACCUCUUUCAGCAGGGACGAAGCGCAAGUGACGGUACCUGCAGAAGAAGCACCGGCUAACUACGUGCCAGCAGCCGCGGUAAUACGUAGGGUGCAAGCGUUGUCCGGAAUUACUGGGCGUAAAGAGUUCGUAGGCGGUUUGUCGCGUCGUUUGUGAAAUCCAGCAGCUCAACUGCUGGCUUGCAGGCGAUACGGGCAGACUUGAGUACUGCAGGGGAGACUGGAAUUCCUGGUGUAGCGGUGAAAUGCGCAGAUAUCAGGAGGAACACCGGUGGCGAAGGCGGGUCUCUGGGCAGUAACUGACGCUGAGGAACGAAAGCGUGGGUAGCGAACAGG